GCCGUUUAGGACUUCAGCCGCAAAAAAAAUUGGGUGCGGAUGGAUUCAUGGAUCCGUUCCGUUCCUAGUCCUGUGCGGACUUCUAAUGAGAUGGCGACACGUGGCUGACUACUCAACAGGCUCGCCCGGACUCCUAGCGCAUAUUCUGUUGGCUCGCUUCGCCUCCUAGCCUCGGCGGCGGCUCUCGGCUCCAAUCGCCAGCCGCUCUCAUUUUUCAACUGGUUUUAGUUCACCCCAAAAUAAAAAACUUUUUAAAAUUCACUAUCAUAUCGAAUCUUGCGACACAUGCAUGAAACAUUAAAUAUAAAUAAAAAUAAAAACUAAUUAUACAGUUUACCUGUAAAUCGCGAGACGAAUCUUUUAAGCCU
rnacentral:lncRNA from 1 species